rnacentral:rRNA from 1 species
UACGGAGGGGACUAGCGUUGUUCGGAAUUACUGGGCGUAAAGCGCACGUAGGCGGAUUGUUAAGUCAGGGGUGAAAUCCCGAGGCUCAACCUCGGAACUGCCUUUGAUACUGGCAAUCUCGAGUCCGGAAGAGGUGAGUGGAAUUCCUAGUGUAGAGGUGAAAAUUCGUAGAUAUUAGGAAGAACACCAGUGGCGAAGGCGGACUCACUGGUCCGGUACUGACGCUGAGGUGCGAAAGCGUGGGGAGCAAACAGGG